AAUCUAAAUCAGAUUCAUCUUCAGCAGUGUUUUGCAAGAUAUCUUGCAAAGCACUGCUGAAGAUGAAUCUGAUUUAGAUUCGAACU
rnacentral:miRNA from 1 species